AUGGGUACUAAAAACAUAUCUUAUAUCUCCUUUUGUUUAUUGUGGGCUUGUGUGAUUCUGUUAUCUUCUACUAUGACUUUGAUCUGCGUCCUCAUCUGGACUCUCCUCUGCUGCUGCUUCACAGAGUCCAGAGGUCAGGUCACAGUGACUCAGCCUGCAGCAGUGACAGCUGAUCUGGGAGGAUCUGCCAGGAUCCCCUGUAGGACCAGUCAGAAUGUUUAUGGCUCUGAUCGUUUAGCCUGGUAUCAACAGAAAGAUGGACAAACUCCUAAGCUGCUCAUUUAUUGGGCCAGCACUCGAGCAUCAGGGACUCCAAGUCGUUUUACAGGCAGUGGAUCAAACUCUGACUUCACUCUGACCAUCAGUGGAGUUCAGGCUGAAGAUGCUGCAGUUUACUACUGUCAGAGUGCUCACUAUAUUAGCAGCCUGUGGGUGUUCACACAGUGA